rnacentral:rRNA from 1 species
CCUACGGGUGGCAGCAGUGGGGGAUAUUACACAAUGGGGGAAACCCUGAUGCAGCGACGCCGCGUGUGGGAAGACGGUCCUCUGGAUUGUAAACCACUGUCCCCAGGGACGAAGAUGACGGUACCUGGGGAGGAAGCUCCGGCUAACUACGUGCCAGCAGCCGCGGUAAUACGUAGGGAGCGAGCGUUGUCCGGAAUUACUGGGUGUAAGGGGAGCGUAGGCGGGACUGCAAGUUGGGUGUCAAAUCUACCGGCUCAACCGGUAGCCGCACUCAAAACUGCAGUUCUUGAGUGAAGUAGAGGCAGGCGGAAUUCCUAGUGUAGCGGUGAAAUGCGUAGAUAUUAGGAGGAACACCAGUGGCGAAGGCGGCCUGCUGGGCUUUUACUGACGCUGAGGCUCGAAAGUGUGGGGAGCAAACAGGAUUAGAUACCCGUGUAGUC